rnacentral:rRNA from 1 species
GACGAACCGUGCGAACGUUAUUCGGAAUCACUGGGCUUAAAGCGCGUGUAGGCGGGAGGGCACGUCCGUCGCUGAAAUCCCCCGGCUCAACCGGGGAACGGGCACGGAUACGACCUUCCUGGAGGGCGUAGGGGGACCUGGAACUUCCGGUGGAGCGGUGAAAUGCGUUGAGAUCGGAAGGAACGCCCGUGGCGAAAGCGAGGUCCUGGACGCCUACUGACGCUGAGACGCGAAAGCCAGGGGAGCCGAACGGG